rnacentral:rRNA from 1 species
GAGUUUGAUCCUGGCUCAGAUUGAACGCUGGCGGCAUGCCUUACACAUGCAAGUCGAACGGUAACGGGUCCUUCGGAGUGCCGACGAGUGGUGAACGGGUGAGUAAUAUAUCGGAACGUGCCCAGUAGUGGGGAGUAAUUGCUCGAAAGAGCAGCUAAUACCGCAUACGACCUGAGGGUGAAAGGGGGGAGUCGCAAGACCUCUCGCUAUUGGAGCGGCCGAUAUCAGAUUAGCUAGUUGGUGGGGUAAAGGCCUACCAAGGCAACGAUCUGUAGUUGGUCUGAGAGGACGACCAGCCACACUGGGACUGAGACACGGCCCAGACUCCUGCGGGAGGCAGCAGUGGGGAAUUUUGGACAAUGGGCGCAAGCCUGAUCCAGCAAUGCCGCGUGCAGGAAGAAGGCCUCGGUU